GUGAGUCAUCGAAUCUUUGAACGCACAUUGCGCCCCUCGGUAUUCCGUGGGGCAUGCCUGUUCGAGCGUCAUUUCAAGGCUCAAGCUUCUCUGCUUGGUGUUGGGCGUCUGUCCUCUGCCCCCGCGCGGGACUCGCCCCAAAGACAUUGGCAGCCCAGGCCGUCCGACCCGCCCGCAGCACAUUGCGUUGGGGAGUCGAACGUCGGCCUCGGCGUCCAGCAACAAAGCUCCCAUCUCAGUCUUGACCUCGGAUCAGGUAGGGAUACCCGCUGAACUUAAGCAUAUCAAUAAGCGGAGGA
rnacentral:misc_RNA from 1 species